AUUAAAGCAUGUCAAGAUCAGGGUGCGACAUUGGCCAGUAUUCAAACAAAAGAAAAAAGUGAUGCCAUAUACAACUUCAUUGUUUCUGAAGGUAUUAGUGCAGCAGACGUAUAUCAUGCUAUUUGGACAUCUGGAAAUAAGCUAAAGGACAAAGUUAACUGGUUCUGGCCAGCCCAGGAGCCAGUUGUUUUUACUAACUGGGGAAGAGGUGAACCUAAUGGUCCGACAACAGAUCACUGUAUUUCUUUUUAUAAUAACGGAUCAGCUGCUGUAUGGAAUGAUGUAACUUGUGAAAGCUACGAAUUUUACCCCCUUUGUGAAAAACCCGUUUGCAGCGCCUUAAAUCCACCUCCACCUCCACCUCCACCUAAAGAAAUCACAGAAGUACAUUGUCAUUGUCACUGUGGAAAUAACUGCCAAGCUGAUGGAUUGGGAAUAGUUGUAUGAGCCCAAAAUUGCUUAAGAUUACUUUAAUCAUAUGCAAAAAAGAAAAGCAUUUUUAAUUUUCUUCAAUAAAUAUCAAUGAUAAUCUA
rnacentral:lncRNA from 1 species